AAUUCGAUUCAACAACACCUAUUUCACUCAGCGAACCGACUUCCAGCUACUCAAAUGGUAAAAUAUCAAUAACCACCGCUUGCAUAUUUGAGUAUUCGAAGUUGAAAUACAAAUGGUUUAUUGUCAAAGAUGGAUCUGAAACAGAAUAUAUGAUUGAACAAGGUAGAUCAAUUUUCGAUGCCAACAAUUCUUCAUGCAAUCAAUGUGACGGCGAUUCACUAACAUCUUUAACAACAGGUUUUAUACAUACUGAAGGAAAUGGAAGUGGCUCUCAGACAGUUUCAUUUAAAAUUCAAAUAUACCACGAAGAUUAUCCAUUGGAGGUUAAAAGCUUAUUGACUAGUCAUGUAUAUACAAUACAACAACGAAAAGAAACGGUAACAUGUACCACUCCAGAAUGUUCGGUAUGUACAAAUACUUUGACAUUAAUUGGUGUCGCUUUUGGAACCUUUGUUUUUACCAUUGUUGCCGUUGUAUUGACUUUUAUGGGUUACAGAUAUAUCAGGUAGUUAUCUUUUUAUAAGAAAUAAGCGUUACCAGGGUUAACAGACAACUUUUCAAUAAUUGGUGUUGUCUGAGGCAACAUAAAUAAUUAUACUUUAAUUCAUAUUUUUUUAACAAAGUCUGAUACAUACGUGAUGUUUGAAUAACUAUCACUUUAAAACAAUAAACAUUAUUUUCUUAUAAAUUCACUUUUC